AAUUAUGAAUCUGUAACUUUAAAGAAUGAAAAAAUCUUUUUUUUAAUUACUUACUUAAUCAAAAAAAGGCGUUUUCCAAUCGAUGAAUGAAAACAAUUGCGUCAUACAGUUGGUGCGUAUGAACCACUCUCGCGAUAUGAGAAGUAAGAAACACAUGUGGAGAUGAAAAGUGGAACAGACUCGCCUUCUGUUUGCAACAAAAGACCAACAACUUCCUGUGUGAUAUUCAGACAAAACAGCCAACGACAGACAUCCGGAGAAAAGUCACGUGAUGGCUACGAAUACUUAUGAGAUCAGAUCUACAAUAUUAAGAUUUACACCCACUGAAAUGAAACUCUCAAACAUCCAGCUAUGAAAGACCAUGUAAAAAAAACCUGGUAUGGUUUAUUUAAAAAAAAAAAGUUAAACAUAUUCGCCACACACAGGCUUCCGACAGACGAAAAAGACACUAUCGUAUUCGUAUUUGAGCAUGGAGCGGACGUUUUGAGAGUAGGUGGUUUUCACCCCAGUUCGCUCUUUCUGCCGAAUCAAAAUGAAAAGUUUAUAUACGAAAACAAUGAAUUCGAUUUUAUGCAGAAUUACCUCAAUUACAAAGCCUAUCCCUUGCACGAUUUCUCUAACCAUUUCGUAGGUUGGCUCGAUGGAAUUUUCGCCAGGGAUGUCCGAAUAAUGGUAGAGCAACGGCCCUAAAUUGAUCCAAACGCCACCUGUUGAAAAUCCAAUAAUUAAAUUAGCAUGAUGGAUUGCGCUUGAUUGAAAUUUUUUGGAAACAAACCGCUCUUGAGUAUUUUGUAAAUAGUUUCGAUGAAGCUGACGAUGUUGUUGGCGCAAUCUAUAAAGAAACACGUAGCUAUACAGUC